ACUUAAUGGAAAAGACAUGCCAUUAUCAUUUUCAUCUCCACUCUGCAUUCCACUCCGUGAAUACCAUGCGUGAUAUCUUCUAGGUAGAAGCUGAUGCUCCAGAAGUUCAUUCCAAAACUGCCCAUACGUCCGGUGACAUGGUCCAGCUGACAGGAAAUGCAUAAUCAAAAAAUAAACCUCUCUGAUGUCAAUGUCCACAUCAGCUUCUGUUGUUCUUCUUUGCUGGACUGUAGACUGGCCUUUUCCAUUUUCCUUACUGGAGAAUCGCAAUGUUUUGAUAUUGACAGAAGGAGCAUCGCCAGAAGGAACGUAUUUCUGGAGAGCCAUAUCCUGAAGAAUCUCGAGGCUGUUACAAAGUAAUUAUAUCAAAACCUUCAUUUCUCAUCCCACAAGAAGUGAAAACCAAAUUUUAUACGUCAAAACUCAAAAUCCAGGAAACUUUAGGAUUUGGUUUAGACUCAAAACAGAAUUAAGAAUAAAGAAGGCCGCUUUGUCGAUAUUGCUGAGGGCCUGAGAUUAUCUGUCAACAUUAACAAAGACAGACACCUUUUAUUAAUUUCCAUUUCAUUACAAGUAACAUGGGUCCAUGUCCCAUGAUCGUAGUCAAUGCCAAUGCCAUCUCAGCCAUUAAAUCUAAAUUUUGCUAUUUAAUGUUGAUACACACCACAUAGACCAUGUUUCACUAAAAAUAACAUUUUUAUAUCAGCUGUCCAAGUCCUUGAAAUCCAUGAAGAUGGAACAUUCUAGAAAAAUUGAUUACUCACCACUAAAAGAUUUUUUUUUUUCUUUUUUCAUUUCAUUGUCUCAAUAAAAUACUUUUACCUCAUUCAAUUCACAGCAUUUAUACACAAAGCAAAACACUGUCAUAUAAAUGGCUUAUUAACCACAUUCAUUAAUGUACAUUUAAAAACUUAUUCGCUAUAAUAAUAGAGGAAAUGUGAAAUGAUACAAUCACUUGAUGCAUAAAAACCAACAUGUGCAUAUCCAUGCGUAUGUAUAUCAUAAACCUGCUUUGUAAAACUAAAAAAAAACCAGGUUAGUAAUUAAAAUUAUUUCCAGAUUUGCUCACAAAAUCAAAAUCAAAAGUAAACAAAAAAGCAAGCAAAUCAAACCCGAUAAGGCCUAAAAUUAAAGAUCGAACCUCUGAAUGCUUAGAAUUGUUAUCACAACCGGAUACUCAAAACUUUGACUCAUUAGCAUUCCAGUGUGGCAUUUGAAAACAAAACCCCCAAAUUUCCAAGUUAUUUACACUUUAUACUACCACAAAACAAACAUAUAAACAAUUCAAAAAAAACAAAUUAACACCAUUCGAGAUCUAAUCCAUCACAUGCAAAAAGCCCUAUAAAAUUAUUAACAAAACCAAAUACGAAAUUCCCUUUUCUCGUAAUUGGAAAAUUAAAUAUUUACCUGUAACAGAGUGUACCAUUAACAACAAAACAAAUUCGUUUAGGUAGAGACAAAAAACUGAACGAACGGCAAGAAUGGAGAUCGAAAUUAAGAGAACUUUUUAAAGGAUAAACAAGAAUUAAUAAAAUUCAAUUUCACAAAAAGGGGAUAUUACAUUAGGGCUAAUAAUGAAUUGAAUUUACUGGUUUUGAUUUAGAUAUAUGGGAGGGAGCUCUGUCGAAAGUUUGUAUUGAAACACUGUAUUUGAGUUUUUCGUGUAGAUAGUUUGAGAGAGAGAGAGAGAGAGGAAGAAGAGAGAGACGUUUUAGAGAGAGAGCGUCAUAUAUAUAACUUUAAGCCCACUCUAGGACCCUUAGACGCCUUGAGGUGAAAAUAUAAAAUUAAUUGUUUCAAUGGUCACUGAAAUUAAAUUCAUGUAUUUAAUUAGUCAUUGAAUUUUAAAAUGUCAAGUUUUGAUCAUUGAAUUUUGAAAAAUAUCGAGUUUGAUCACUGAAUUUAGAUUCAUAUCUUUGAUUGCUCAGUAAACUUUAAAAUAUCGAGUUUUGACCACUGAACUUUGAAAAAUAUCGAGUUUUGGCCACUGAACUGAAGUUCAUGUAUUCAAUUGCUUACUGAAAUUUAAAAUGUCAAGUUUUGGCCACUGAACUGAAGUUCAUGUAUUCAAUUGCUUACUGAAAUUUAAAAUGUCAAGUUUUGGCCACUGAACUUUGAAAUAUGCCGUACGUUACUCAUAAGCAUAACUGUUGAAUUUUAAAAAAUAUCGAGUUUAUAGUGAAUAAUGUACAACAUUUUUCAAUGUUCAAUGAAUAAUAUAUAAUAUUUUUCAAAAUUUAGUGAGUAAUGUACAAUAUUUUUCAAAGUUUAAUGACCAAAACUCGAUAUUUUAAAGUUCGAUAAGCAAUCAAAGACAUAGAACUAAGUUCAGUUGCCAAAACUCUACAUUUUAAAGUUUAAUGGCCAAUCAAAAAUAUGAACCUAAAUUCAGUAACCAAAACUCAACAUUUUAAAGUCCAGUGAUCAAUCAGUUUGACCUAUCAUUCUACUGUAAGGCAGAUCAGAGUCAAGCACAAGAAUGCAUGAUAAUAAAAUCUGGACAAUUUGACCAUCACCGCAAGAAAAAAAUACAGCCAAAUGAUGAGGGAAAAAUAACUACCAUACUGAUGUUUCCAAUUACUAAGACUCUUAAGUAUGAAACUUAUCGAAGGAAACACAAGAGUUUGACCUAUCAUUCUACUGUAAGGCAGAUCAGAGUCAAGCACAAGAAUGCAUGAUAAUAAAAUCUGGACAAUUUGACCAUCGCCGCAAGAAAAAAAUACAGCCAAAUGAUAAAGAAAAAAUUCUUAAUCAUAUUAUGGGAAGGUAAUCAUUUCCAAGUGCACACUUCAGAUCUAAUUGGACUCUGCCUGAAAUCAUAGUAGCUUUCCAAAGGUAUACCUUGGAUAUCAUGCAAGACUAAAUCAGAAAAUUUAAAAAAGCUUCAAGUAACUUAAGAAACUACAAUGUUGAGUAUAUAAGAAAGAUGCAGCUCUAAUAAGUAAUCCUCUCUCUUAAUAAAGAACGACAUAUAAAUCUCUCAAUAUGAAAAUGCCUGUCCACUUCAAAUCUACAAAGAGAAGGGAAAUAAAGGUGAAAUCAUACCGCAGUAAACAGCAUUACGGUGCCCUCGGACUCUUUUAAUAUUUUGCAUCUUAUGUACCAUAGUAGAUGGUUUUGCAAUGGCAUAACAUGCAGCGCGAGUAGAAGGGGCACGAUGAUGCCUAGGAAAUCCACCACCAAUUUCCCUUAAACUAAGUCCACGCACUUGAUCAGCUAGCCUGUGAGGCCAGCGCAAGUGGCAUGGGGGAUGUUUGACUUGACCAUCCCUCUUAUUUUGAUCACCUUUGAGGGGGAGAUGGAGAGCAUAUGAGUUGACAAAAAAAAAGCUAGAAAAAAUAAAGAAUAGCAGAGACAGGAUAAGAAUAUAAACUCUUCAUUCAGUCUGGAGAUUAUUAUGAAAAGAGGAUAACUUAUAAUACUAUUAUGAAAAGAAAAAUACACAAUUGACUAAAGUAUGGAGAUUAUUGCAUCAGAAUAUAAUUGAGCCAAAAAUAUACAAUGGCCAAAAUUAAUAUCACGAAUUACAGCUACGUACUAGCCAGAAGUGAAAAAGAACCAGUUCCGAGGAGAGUCGGGACAGCAGAUGCAUUUAUUGCAUUCCCACCAAUCAAGCCUUGUGAUGGAUCAGCAGAACUUCGUAUCAGUUGCUUCAGAAGCUUUACCAAGUGAUCCGUCUCAAUGUGAGGAUAUCUGAGUAAAAAAUCACAAUUGCAACUGUCAAGAGAUGAUAAAAGAAAUCUAAGUAGAUAAAAGGAGAAAGAAUAAAAAAGUUGAAAACUGAUAUAAAUAUCUCAGCAAGUUGGCCAAAUCUAAAAUCUUUCAACCUACGUUCAAAGUUCUUCCUUUUCCUUAUUCCCUUUGACAGAGAAGAAGAGUAGAUCUCCGAAGCCCUUUCAACNNNNNNNNNNNNNNNNNNNNNNNNNNNNNNNNNNNNNNNNNNNNNNNNNNNNNNNNNNNNNNNNNNNNNNNNNNNNNNNNNNNNNNNNNNNNNNNNNNNNNNNNNNNNNNNNNNNNNNNNNNNNNNNNNNNNNNNNNNNNNNNNNNNNNNNNNNNNNNNNNNNNNNNNNNNNAAAGCUCCACCAACACUAGUUGAAGUCCUCUAUGAAACCUUAGGGUGUGUUUGAUUACAUUUAUUUUUCAUGGAAAAUAUCAGUUUUCCAUCUAAAUUCCUAUUUGGAGUGUUUGAUUGCUAUUUUUUUCAUGGAAAACAUUUUCCAACUUUUGAAAAUAUGUUUAAUUUUCCUUGUUUUUAAGGAAAAUAUUUUCCUUGGAUAGAGGUGGUUUUUAUUUUCCAUAAAAGAUGGAAAAUAUUUUCUUUUCUAGGUUAUAUUUUCCAUGUCAAUCAAACACACUCUUAAUUCUUUUAUGCAGUCAACUAAAAAAAUAAAAAAAGGGGGGAAACUAUUGUUUCUCAUAAUUUAGCAAUCAUGAUCAAACAGUGGUAAUGCAAUAAUACUAAGAGGGCAGGAGAGGAGUAAAUGCAUUUGACCACCAGCAGGACUUGUAGAAACACCUGGCUACCGAAUUGGACUAUGUAUCGCUUAAUUUCCAAAUAGAACUCUCAGUAAACCAAAAUCAAAAGAUAGAAAGCAAACCUCAAAGGGAAAACAGCUAUAAAGGUUAUCUACCCAGGUGACAAGUAGCAGAGUUUACCUUUCCACCAGCUUAUUAUAACUUAAUGGAAAAGACAUGCCAUUAUCAUUUUCAUCUCCACUCUGCAUUCCACUCCGUGAAUACCAUGCGUGAUAUCUUCUAGGUAGAAGCUGAUGCUCCAGAAGUUCAUUCCAAAACUGCCCAUACGUCCGGUGACAUGGUCCAGCUGACAGGAAAUGCAUAAUCAAAAAAUAAACCUCUCUGAUGUCAAUGUCCACAUCAGCUUCUGUUGUUCUUCUUUG
rnacentral:lncRNA from 1 species